UUGACGGGGAGCACCACAACGGGUGGAGCUUGCGGUUUAAUUGGAUUCAACGCCGGAAAUCUUACCGGGACCGACAGCAAUAUGAAGGCCAGGCUGAAGACUUUGCCGGAUUAGCUGAGAGGUGGUGCAUGGCCGUCGUCAGUUCGUACUGUGAAGCAUCCUGUUAAGUCAGGCAACGAGCGAGACCCACGCCCACAGUUGCCAGCGUACUCUCUGGAGUGACGGGUACACUGUGGGGACCGCCGCUGUUAAAGCGGAGGAAGGAAUGGGCAACGGUAGGUCAGUAUGCCCCGAAUAUCCCGGGCUACACGCGAGCUACAAUGGUUGGUACAAUGGGUAUCUACCCCGAAAGGGGACGGGAAUCUCCUAAAACCAAUCUUAGUUCGGAUUGAGGGCUGCAACUCGCCCUCAUGAAGCUGGAAUCCGUAGUAAUCGCGUUUCAACAGAACGCGGUGAAUACGUCCCUGCUCCUU
rnacentral:rRNA from 1 species